AUCUUCCUAGUACAGACAGUAUAAGUGACUUCCAAUCACAUGGCCUUGGUUUAACCCCAGGGGAAGGUA
rnacentral:tRNA from 1 species